CAGCCGCCGCGGGAAUACGUAGGUCCCGAGCGUUGUCCGGAUUUAUUGGGCGUAAAGCGAGCGCAGGCGGUUUGAUAAGUCUGAAGUUAAAGGCUGUGGCUCAACCAUAGUUCGCUUUGGAAACUGUCAAACUUGAGUGCAGAAGGGGAGAGUGGAAUUCCAUGUGUAGCGGUGAAAUGCGUAGAUAUAUGGAGGAACACCGGUGGCGAAAGCGGCUCUCUGGUCUGUAACUGACGCUGAGGCUCGAAAGCGUGGGGAGCGAACAGGAUUAGAUACCCCUGUAGUCCCUGUCUCUUAUACA
rnacentral:rRNA from 1 species